CGCUAAAGGGAACAGAAACAGAAACCACGAUAGGGCAGGGAGUAAAGGGAGAGGUAAGUUUAAAUAGCUUCUAAACUAAUGUGAUUGGCUCCUGUCAUAUCCACACCCCCAAAAGGUAAGUGUAUGGGGAGUGUGGCAUGACAGGGGCCAAUGGGAGCCUAUUACCAAUUUAGGCUCCUACUGUCUCUUUAAGAGCGCGCCCGAGACUCGCGGCGCGCUCUUAGAUUCAGGCGGGACACGUGACCGCUUCUUGCGGUCACUGCCCGCCUUCCUAGUGAAGCCGUCGGAAGAGCCGCGCGCGG